rnacentral:tRNA from 1 species
CAGGGAGACAAAAACUGAUUAUGAUGUCUGAUUAAAAUUUUUAGGCCGUAAUCCUGUCACCUUAGGUCGAUCGGUACCUCAGAUUUAUAAUUUAAAAGCAGUGAGAGAUCAUUUAUUUUAUUUAUGAAUUUCAGUUCCUAAACUUGUCUAGGUCACACCCAACAAACUUUCUCCUGGGCUAUUAGCUCAGGCGGUUAGAGCGCACCCCUGAUAAGGGUGAGGUCCCUGGUUCAAGUCCAGGAUGGCCCAUUCGUUGUUGGGGGUAUAGCUCAGUUGGUAGAGCGCCUGCUUUGCAAGCAGGAUGUCAGCGGUUCGAGUCCGCUUACCUCCACUGAUCAACUACCUGAUAACUCAAUUUGGAGAUUGUAAUUUGCUUAAUGUGAUUUAGACCUUGUUCAUCUGAAAGAACCUAGCUUCCUAUCACACCUUUAUUAAUUUUAGGCUGAUAAGACGCUGGGCUCACUGAUUUUCUUAGAAUAAUCAGUUAAUUCAGCAGAACCUUGACAACUGCAUGGGAAAGUCUAGAAGAAUAAAGCAUCUCAUAGAUGCAUGUCACUUUAUUGUUCAGAAUUAUGUUCAAUAAGUACCAUGUUAAUUCUUGAGUUAGAGCAUAAUUUCUAUAAUUUUUAGUUCAUCUAGAAAUAGUUGAAUGACUAAUACAUUUUAUAGACAUUAUUAAU